rnacentral:lncRNA from 1 species
CAACAAAAUGAGCAAGUUUGCCACCUAAGUAUUCUUAAAUUCUAAAAGAUAUGCUUUAUAUAGUAGGAAGGUGAUUGAAGAUGGACUAAAAGACCGAAGGUUGUGAAUAAUGGAUGAAUCUUAAAAAAGCAUUUGCUAUAUGAAACAAUAAUGCCGUUUCAUGGAGUUCAAAAUUAUAUUUAAAAUACCUUUCAACUGAAAUAUAUAAGUUGAUAGGGUAGUGACUGGAAUAAGUCCUCUAAAUUUGUAUGGUCUGAGAGAAUAAAGGUAUUGGUUAGCUUUAACAUUAAGUAUAAAUAUGAUUUCUAGUAUAACCACUUAAAAUGAUGGUUACACAGAAAUUAGUAUAUCGUUUCUGAGGUAAUAGAAGGUAAAAAUAGGAAAAUAAUCAUAAAAUAGAAAAAGAAGCAUAGAAGGGGCAGGAAUAGGGGAAAAAAACAGGUGGUAGAUAGUGGUUUGCCUCUUCUGAAACUGUUGGGACUUUCAUCCCUGCUCUGAGUUAUUAAGAGAGAGUGGAAAACAAUCUGACUAUAGUGUUUAAAGGAGAGGUCUUUGGGAGGUGACUUGGACUUUUCUGGCUUGAGACUGUUCUCACAAGGCCAUCACUGUAUGCAGCCCCAUCCUUUGACCAGAAUUGAGCCAAAGUAAACCUCUAUAACUUAACCAAUCUGUGAUAUAUUAUUAUAGUAGUACUAAAUAGUCUUAGGGAUGUAACCCAGUAAUUACAAGAAAUGUAAAUGGACUAAGUUAUUUUGUUAAACACAAAUUGUUACCUAGUUAAAACAUGAAAUCAAUUAUAUGCCAUUAUAAAAGAUGACACCUAAAGAACAAUACAUAGAAAGUUUUAAAGUAAAAUGAUGAUUAAAGUUAUACAAACCAAAAGAAAGUCAAUAUAGAUAAUAUUAGCAUCUGAAAAAAAAUGUUAAAGCAGAAACAUUGCUAGGGAUAAAAAGAAUCAGUUCAUAUAAUGAAAGGUUCAAUUUAUUAGGAAGAGAAUGCUAAAUUGGCAUUUACCUGUAAGUAAAUGGUUAAGCAGCCCCAUAUUUGGAGAAAUUAACAUGAUUCUAAAUAACGCAUAAAUGAAAGAAGAAACUCUAGUGGACUCUGGAAUAUAAGUACAACUAGACAGUGAUGAAAAUGCAUAAUGAAAUUAUGGGUUGCAUCGAAAAGAGCCCUUGAAUGAAGUUGAUAGACUUCAGUGAGUCUAGCAGAAGCAAAGAAAGGUUGAAUAUUACUGAGAAGAGCUAUCUUAAUAAAAGAAUACCACAAUAUGUUCAAA